CAGCAGCCGCGGGAAUACGUAGGUGGCAAGCGUUGUCCGGAAUUAUUGGGCGUAAAGGGCUCGCAGGCGGUUUCUUAAGUCUGAUGUGAAAGCCCCCGGCUCAACCGGGGAGGGUCAUUGGAAACUGGGAAACUUGAGUGCAGAAGAGGAGAGUGGAAUUCCACGUGUAGCGGUGAAAUGCGUAGAGACGUGGAGGAACACCAGUGGCGAAGGCGACUCUCUGGUCUGUAACUGACGCUGAGGAGCGAAAGCGUGGGGAGCGAACAGGAUUAGAUACCCCAGUAGUCCCUGUCUCUUAUAC
rnacentral:rRNA from 1 species